AAUAAUAAUUCUUUUUAUGAUAUCUAUGUAAAAAAUAAACAUUAUAUACAAGUAAAAAUAAGGAUAUAAAUAUUAGACUUCUAAAUCUCUGUCAAACAGUUAUAUUAAAAAAAAUUUAAAGCAAGUAUUUGUUUAAAACAGUGUUUAAAACGCAACUUUGAGAUCUCAAGAUACGUCAAUAAGUAAUUUUCCCGCGUCGCGCAUAUUAACGCGCCGAUUACUUUACGUCGUCGUAACCGCUGAUUAGUUUACGUUCAUUAAAUUAAAAAAAAACUGAGAAAAUGCAUUACUUAAUUAUUAAUUUUCCGGUGGUAGAAAGGACACCCGAGAAGUUUAGAGUGAUGUUUAACUCCGCUUUUGUCAAGAGACACGGUAGUGGCUCGCGCCAAGUGAAAGCGCAGCGCGAGCCCGACCGUGCUCUUUACGCGAGUACGCGACUUGCGAGCACUCGAGAUUAUUGAAUCUCAGAAACGAUUAAAUCGAUCGAGUUUCUAAGUAAGCUCAAUCGAAAGCUUGGGGUCGAUUUAUAUUAGAAAACUAUUUUUAUUUUUUCUCUACAUGUCCUAUGAAUGGAGAUAUCGCGACGCAAAGUCCGAAAAGCCAAAAUUUCAUUUAAGAUACGUCGUCGUCAUCGUCAACCUUGUUGGUAUCUCUGCGGGUAGUGCGGGUGCCGAAAAUGAGGGACGAAAAUCCAUUUCGCUCAUCUACUACCGUGUGGCGUUCGCAUCGUCACUAUAGCACCGUAUAUGGCAAUGUAUAAGUCACGUGGUCACCAGUGGCUCGCUCGCGCCGUGAAUUAGUUGUGUGAAGAUGAUAGGUUAUAUAUGAGGUCACAUAAGUUGCUUCGGCCACAGGUCAGCUCCUGUCAAGUGACAUGUGUAGUGGAGGUUAAAUUACUUAUUUAAUGAUUUUAAUCAUUGACACCAAUAUAAAUUAAUUAAUUUCAGAGAGUAACAUAGCUCAGAUUUAUCGAUGAGGUAGAUGAGAUGUUGCGUGAUGUAAAAUGUGUAAUUAUUGUUGUAAUUUCAAUGAUAAUGUUGUAAGGAUAAUAAAGUAAAGAAUAAAAAUAGUAUAUUGAUUGAUUGACAAUUACAGCAACAUUUAUCCAAUACACAAUUCUUCUACAUCAUACAAUAUUUCAUCUCUCAUCGACACUAAUAUAAAAUUACAGAGCUAUUUUAUUUUUAAUUUUAACCGGUCACAUAAGUUGCUCUGGCCACAGGUCAGCUCCUGUUAAGUGACAUGUGUAGUGGAGGUUAAAUCAUUUAUUUAAUGAUUUUUAACAUCUCAUCUAUUUAAUCAUCGUUCAUUAAGAUUUUCCACUUGUGUCGAUGAAAUAAAUGAGAUUGACACAAAUGUAAAAUUAAAUAAUCAGAGAAUAACAUAGCUCAGAUUUUAUACUGGUGUUGAUGAGGUAGAUGAGAUGUUGCAUGAUGUAGAAAAUGUGUAUUAUUGCUGUAAUUGUCAAUCAUGUUAUAAGGAUAAGAACUAUCAUCAUCACCAAGGUAUUACUUUUGUCACCAAGAUACAAUUAUAUGUUACUAGUAAAGAAUAAAAUAGUAUUGUUAAAACCAUUUAUUUGAUUUGAAAUUUUGUUAGAUAAUUAAUAUUGAUUGACAAUUACAGCAACAUUUAACCAAUACACAAAUCUUCUACAUCAUACAUCUCAUUUCUCAUCGAUACUAAUGUAAAAUCAGAGAGCUAUUUUAUUUUAAUAAUCGGUUACGUAGGUUGCUCGGGCCACGGGUCAGCCCGUGUCAAGUGACAUAUGUAGUAUUGAUUAAAUCAUUUAUUUAAUGAUUUUUCAGGAAACAUAUUAUUUAAAUUAAAUUAGUGACCAAACAUAAUUACCUUUUUAAAUAAAAAUGUAAAAAGGGCUCCAAGUGUGUGGGCUUCUUUAAGGGAAGACAGAAAUUCAAGAUAAUCGUUUUCAUCAAAUUCAACUUAGGCAUGGUUCCAAAACAUGCUCUAAAGAAAAAUUUUAUUUAAAAAUUUAUAGUAUUAUAUCCGUUAUAUAAACUUUAAUUUCUUAGUAAAAUUUUUCUCAAAGAGAAAGUUUUAGAGUGUAACCUUAAGUGGUCUAUAAAACUAAGUAGUUUAUAAAAAAAUAUAAAA